rnacentral:rRNA from 1 species
UGAGGUAACGGCUCACCAAGGCAACGAUGCGUAGCCGACCUGAGAGGGUGAUCGGCCACACUGGGACUGAGACACGGCCCAGACUCCUACGGGAGGCAGCAGUAGGGAAUCUUCCGCAAUGGACGAAAGUCUGACGGAGCAACGCCGCGUGAGUGAUGAAGGCUUUCGGGUCGUAAAACUCUGUUGUUAGGGAAGAACAAGUGCUAGUUGAAUAAGCUGGCACCUUGACGGUACCUAACCAGAAAGCCACGGCUAACUACGUGCCAGCAGCCGCGGUAAUACGUAGGUGGCAAGCGUUAUCCGGAAUUAUUGGGCGUAAAGCGCGCGCAGGUGGUUUCUUAAGUCUGAUGUGAAAGCCCACGGCUCAACCGUGGAGGGUCAUUGGAAACUGGGAGACUUGAGUGCAGAAGAGGAAAGUGG